rnacentral:rRNA from 1 species
GACAGAGGGGGCAAGCGUUGCUCGGAAUUACUGGGCGUAAAGGGCGCGUAGGCGGGAUGGCAAGUCGGUCGUGAAAUCCUUCGGCUCAACCGAAGAACGUCGAUCGAUACUGCUGUUCUUGAGGGUUGCAGAGGAGUCUGGAAUUCCCGGUGUAGCGGUGAAAUGUGUAGAGAUCGGGAGGAACACCGGUGGCGAAGGCGGGUCUCUGGGCAAUUCCUGACGCUGAGGCGCGAAAGCGUGGGGAGCAAACGGG